UACGAAAGGGGCUAGCGAUGUUCGGAAUUACUGGGCGUAAAGCGCACGUAGGCGGCCUUGUAAGAUGGGGGUGAAAUCCCUGGGCUCAACCCAGGAAUUGCCUUCAUGACUGCAAAGCUCGAGGAUGUGAGAGGUUGGCGGAAUUCCGAGUGUAGAGGUGAAAUUCGUAGAUAUUCGGAAGAACACCAGUGGCGAAGGCGGCCAACUGGCACAUUUCUGACGCUGAGGUGCGAAAGCGUGGGGAGCAAAUAGG
rnacentral:rRNA from 1 species